rnacentral:lncRNA from 1 species
AAUCACCCGGGCGGGGGAGAAGCAGAGCCCAGGCGGGCGGGAGGGGUGCAGGAAGCGAUGGCAGGCCGAGGUUCCCGCCCGAGCCGGAGGCAGAGCCCUCGGCCAGGCCGGGCGGCCCCUCACUUGGAGACCAGCAUGUGCACGAACUCCUCGUAGUUGACCUGGCCGUCCCCAUCCACGUCGGCGGCCCGGAUCAUCUCGUCCACCUCGUCGUCGCUCAGCUUCUCCCCGAGCCUGGUCAUCACGUGCCGCAGCUCGGCCGCGCUCACCAGGCCGUUGCCGUCCUUGUCGAACACGCGGAAGGCCUCCCGGAUCUGCUCCUCGCUGUCCCGGCCCCUCAGCUGCCGGGCCAUCAUGCCCAGGAACUCGGGGAAGUCCACGGAGCCGUUGCCGUCACGGUCGAUCUCGCCCACCAUGUCCCGGAGCUCGGCCUCUGUGGGGUUCUGGCCCAGGGACCGCAUGACGGUGCCCAGCUCCUGGGUGGUGAUGGCGCCGUCCCCGUCCUUGUCGAACAGGCAGAAGGCCUCCCUGAACUCGGCCACCUGUUCCUCUGUCAGCUGGUCGGCCAUGGAGGGAGCGGUGGCAGCGGCCGGGCUCCGGGGGACAGGUGGCCGCGCUAGGGGCGCCGGCUGGCUGGCCGUCUGGCCCGGGCUUGACUGGCGGGCG